rnacentral:rRNA from 1 species
GAUGAACGCUAGCUACAGGCUUAACACAUGCAAGUCGAGGGGCAUCAUGGUCUUAGCUUGCUAAGGCCGAUGGCGACCGGCGCACGGGUGAGUAACACGUAUCCAACCUGCCGUCUACUCUUGGACAGCCUUCUGAAAGGAAGAUUAAUACAAGAUGGCAUCAUGAGUCCGCAUGUUCACAUGAUUAAAGGUAUUCCGGUAGACGAUGGGGAUGCGUUCCAUUAGAUAGUAGGCGGGGUAACGGCCCACCUAGUCUUCGAUGGAUAGGGGUUCUGAGAGGAAGGUCCCCCACAUUGGAACUGAGACACGGUCCAAACUCCUACGGGAGGCAGCAGUGAGGAAUAUUGGUCAAUGGGCGCAGGCCUGAACCAGCCAAGUAGCGUGAAGGAUGACUGCCCUAUGGGUUGUAAACUUCUUUUAUAAAGGAAUAAAGUCGGGUAUGUAUACCCGUUUGCAUGUACUUUAUGAAUAAGGAUCGGCUAACUCCGUG